CUCCGGGACGGGUGAGAUUCACUUUCGAUUCAUUCCGGAAAUCGAAAUGCGCAUGCGCAGAAUUUUAAACAUCAAACCCGAUUGCAAUUGCAGUUAACUUGAGUCAGCAUGGCGGCUCCCAUAUGAAUGUGAUGAAUACGAAGAAAACGCUUCUUAACUGACUAAAAAACAACAGACAUCAUAUAUGUUACCAUAAAUUCAUAAAAUGACCCCUUCACUGGGUUGAAUAUAGGUUCUUAUACUGAGCUGGAGUUUUGCUACUCUGUGAACAAUUACAAUGGAGAGAAAUGAUCAUGACUUCUAAAGUACUUUUACA